AAUCGUUACGUAAGCUAGAAUUUACAGUUACGUAAAAUGGACUUUUCAAAGAUCUUUUUCUUCGUUUUCGCCUGCCUUUUGGCUUUAACAUCCGUGUCUGCGGCACCCAGUCCCAAAUGGAAGAUUUUCAAGAGAAUUGAGAAAGUCGGCAGAAAUGUAAGGGACGGACUUAUAAAAGCUGGCCCAGCUGUUCAGGUCGCAGGUCAAGCCGCGACAAUCUACAAAGGA